rnacentral:rRNA from 1 species
UACGUAGGGUGCAAGCGUUAUCCGGAAUUAUUGGGCGUAAAGAGCUCGUAGGCGGUUUGUCGCGUCUGCUGUGAAAACUGGGGGCUCAACCCCCAGCCUGCAGUGGGUACGGGCAGACUAGAGUGCGGUAGGGGAGAUUGGAAUUCCUGGUGUAGCGGUGGAAUGCGCAGAUAUCAGGAGGAACACCAAUGGCGAAGGCAGCUCGCUGGAACGGUACUGACGCUGAGGCGCGAAAGCGUGGGGAGCAAACAGG